AUUUACUUCUGGCACAGUAAUGUAAACAACUGGUGAAUAUACCAUUAGAGCUACUUAUUUGACAGUCUGCAUGAAGCCAGAGGAACAUGCAGUUAACAACAUACAAGAAAUCUCCCCAUCUAGACAGAGUUUGGAAGGAGAGACAGCUUCAUCCUGAUUGCUCCCCAAGCUCCCAUUUGUGAGCUCCACUGAACAAGACACGUUUCUUCAAAAGGCUGAACAAUGCUCAGACAGAUGGAUUCAUAAGAGUACAGGAUGUUUCAGCGUAAACAGUUUGGAAGCCAAAUAGCACCAGGAGAUUCUUCCUCUCAGAGAUGGGAAUGCAUGAGGAGAGCUGCAAGCUGAGAGCAGACAGCAAAAGAGAAUGGAAGAAGGCUCUGGAACUGAGCACUUCUCUGCAGCUGAAAGAUAGCUGGCAACCAAGUCUUACAGCACUCUACCUGCUGUCUGCCCCCACUUCCAAAGGAAGAGGCGUAAGACGUCACCAUGGAGGCCCAAGGCAGGCUUUGCAGGGCAGAACAUCUGAUAGUUGUUUGGGUGGAGCAACGGAGCCUUCAGAUGAAGAAAUAUGGGCAAUGUUGCUUAAGACUGCUAUUGUAACUCCCAGGAUUUUGAAAGUCUAAAGCGUUGUCACAAAAACAGGGAAGAUGUUGACUUUUUAAGAAAGCCAUACAUUUUAUAGCACGCCAAUUUAAACAAUACCAGAGAAAACAUUUUUUCCUUUUACAAAGGGGAAAACUCACAGUUGUAGCCUUUAUCUAAUGUAUUAUUUGCCUCAAGCAACCGUUAAUACAGUUACAUAAAUUCUCAUUCUAUUAACCUAAAUGAAAGGCACGUCCAGUAACACGGGGCAAUAGGAAUCGCUGCUGUAAAUUAAAACAGUGCACAGGGUAUUGAUGUGAGGGGAACUUUAAAAGACUUCUACGAGGCUCCUCAGGCAUGAAGCAGUAUUCUGAACACUGUAACAGCAGUUAGAAGCUUCGGGAAAAGGUGUACAUUAUUGGAAAGAAGUUUUGUUCACAGUGGGAGUUUCCUCUAAUCCUCCACAGAUUUAGAAAUAAUUUUUCAAGAGAGACCAAAUAAUACCCUAAAUUCCAUUAAAAUCCGAUGGGAUUUAUGUGCCUAACAUCCUAAGUCCUUCUGAAAAUCUCAGCUUUUAUGUUUGGCUUAUUCUGUACAGAAUGAGAGGCAGAUAUUUCUUGUAUAACUCAAACAGUUCAGAUUAUAUGCAAGUAAUCCAAACCACCUGUGGUGUGCUGCAGUCAAAAAAUGUGUGGUUGUUCCCUCCUCACCACCUUUCUUUUUCACAGUGGGGUUUUUAAUGCAUUUAGGCUUCAGACAAAAAGCACAACUUUCAGGAUUGAAACAGUAGGAUGGAUCCACUUCAAAUGUCACCUGGUCUUUGGCAGCUCAAACAUGUGGCUCUCUACAAGCAAGGUCUGAGAGAUGCUCUGCUCUAGCUGAUACUGUUGCAAAGAGCCGGCAGAGGAAAUCACUGAAGGAAAUCUAAAAGCGUUCCACUACCAAACAGGAAGCAAAGCAGCACCAAAAAGCUGUGCUGUUCACUGGGGAUCUGUUCAAACGAGAUGGUGUUGAAGAGAUUCAACCCAGGAUAGGAUGCUGCAAAGAUGAGUUUAAAGACUUGUAACAGAAUGAAAUGGAGCCUAAAAUUAGUACAGGGUGUUUUGCCUCUGCUCUAUAUUCCUGUCUGAUGUCGUGAGAUCGUAUCACUACUAGAGGCAAACGCUUUCUCACUGCUGCUGCUGUGAAAGGAUAACAGAAGAUGCCAAAACCUCUAGUGAGGCAUAUUAAAUGAAAAUCACUAUAAACUUUUCUACUGUCCUUCUGUCACUGUACAGUAUUUCAGUGUUAAUGUUUUGAUUCAGUAGUUACAUAUCUAGCAAAGAGCAAAGCUGUGCCUGAUUUCACAAUAAACAGCUUUUAAUGGGGUACAUACAACAUUAGCAAUAUUUUGAGUGGAAAACAUGAGAUGGGAGUUUGUUGCUACGGGUUUUAGGGGCUUAAGUAAAAAUUAAAUUUGGAAUAGCCUCAGAAAGCUCACUUACCUCUCGCUGUUGCAAGUAACAAUCCAAAUAAACUCCCACAUAAACCCCCCUGCAAGCUGAAAAAUAAUCCUAGAGUAAAAUCUAGUUUCAAAAUUAAGCCACCUUAAUUUUAAUAUUGUUUCUAUGCCCAGGGAAAAAAAAAUCAUCUUUGGAUAAAUGCAUUUGAAAAAAAUGAAAAGAACACAACUUUUGUUUUGAGAAUAUUCUGUGAAGGAGUUAUUUUCAGCUAGCUCACACUUGUUAACAAGCAGCACUUGGGCAGUCUCCUUAUUCUUUAAGUAGGCACAGAGACCAGAGCAUAGGUAUACCCACUCUCACUCACACAAUUGCCACUGGCAAGUGAAAGUACAGUUUCUUCAGUUUCUCAAGCACACAACACGCAACGUUGCUCAGAUAAUUUGGAAUUACAGUGGGAUCUAGUGACACUAUCCAAACUGUGCUGCCAGUCACCUCUCAUAAGGAGGCAAGACACAAGGAAACUAGAUACAGCCCAAGGAGGCAAGCACAGCUGGGAUUAAGGGUGUAAUAACUGAAUUGGACGGCAUUUUUUGGCUCAGAUUAUUACUGCCAGCCCUAGCAGACCUAGUGAUCCUGCUCUUGAUUUUCUCAAGUUUUUGCAAGUUUACCCGACUUUUACUUUAGAGGUCAGACUGACACAUAGCCCAGGAGAUUAGCUACAUAAAUCUCAGAGCAACUUUCCCUCUUCCAAGGAAAAGUGCUGCUACACAAGGGGCAGUCCAUAGGCUUCUCACAAGCUCAGCUUUUCACUCUUGCUGAGACAUUUGGCAAAAUUGAAAGGAGAUGAGAGGGAAAAGAACAGUUAAAGAAAUUGAGGUUAGAUAUGUACAAACAGAAACAUAUUUAGCAUGCACUUCACUUACAGCUUUUGAUUAAACCCAUUUUGCUCACUUUGGUACAUUUUAAUCUUAGAGACAAAGCCAACACAUACAAGCCAGUUAAAGACAAAAAAGGGAUAAGACUUAAAACUUUUCACCAAGUUCAUAGAUGAUCAGUAGCAAAGCCACAGGUAGAACUCAUGUUUCAUCCUAGUGUUGCUCUGUCAUGGAUAAGGUUUUUGGGACCUUUUCUUGGCCUUACCACUAUUAAAGCCUUUCCCAUCUACAGGGGAUGGUGACUCCCCUGCAUCUCAAACAAAAAUCAGUAUCACAUCUGUUGAAAUCAGAGUGACAUGUUGUAAUAGGUUUUAGAAGAACUAAGGUUUAGUGCUAGUUUUAUCUCCUAAGAAGCUAUUUCACAAGAUAAUGAUCAACUGGAGUUUACUCCGAGAGUCUAUUUUUUUUAGUCUCUCACAGACAAAAUUCAGUUGCAAUAAUCUAGAAAUGAACUCUUUGUUCUAGAUUAAAUAGUUAAAUAGAGUAGUACAUCGGUUCAACAGUUCAUGAAUUUAACUUAUGUAAUAAUGCUUGUGUAGCAUGAGGCUGCAUAAGCUGUUUAAACAGACUUACUCCUAGAUCCAGAGAAGACAUUUAGGGAAGCACUGCUUCUGAAUGGAUUACGUAACGCAUUAUAAACCUUUCUCUUAACUAGCAUCUCUGCCAAAUAGCACUUCAUUGCAGUUCUCCAACCUUACAAUAAAAAUACAAAGAACCUGCCUGGCCACUAACAGCAUUCGCAUAAGGGGAUUUUCAAUCUAGUUCUCUAUAAGCAUCCACUAAGAAGUUUAAACCACAAACUUUUACUUCAGCAUAAAAAGGGACUAUGCAGGACUUUCUAAAAACAUUUGUGCAGAGGUAUGAAUAGCUGCCUUGGGGAAACUCCCCCAUAUUAAUAGAAAUAGCUGUUAUUGCCCAUGCUGUGCUAUGGCUCGGAGGGAAUAAUUACAAGUAUUCUUGUAACUUAUUCUGUUUGAAUGCAGUGGUUUUCAGAAUAGCAUCUCAGUAAGUGGGAGUCAGAAAGCAAGCUGAUAAAAAAAAAAAAAAGAGAGAGAAUGUUUACCAGUAUAAAUGCUAGAAGCAAGUACCAGUAAAGGUAACGGACACAUUUCUGGCCAAGGAGGCACAGGGUCUUGCUGCCCCUCCAUUCUGCAAGAUCAGAUUGCCCCCUCCUUAGGAUUUUUAACUGAACUAAGAUAAACUCUCAGUUUCAUGGACUGCGGUCUAACUAGCAAAGUACCAGUCCAGAUCAUAGGAUAUCUGUCAAACUGAAAUCCAAGAUAACAAGAAAAUGUGCCUGUCGAUGUAAACCUAUGGAUUCUGAUGUUAACACAUGGCAUUUCUCAACUGUGAUCAAUUACAGCAAAACUGCAACAGUAACACUGUACUCCCCAAACAGUUCAGCUAUAGUGUCUUCCCAUCCUUUUAUCCCAAAAGACUUCAGCUAUAACGGCUUUUCUUGUCCUCUUAAUUGGUCCUAAGUAAGGGGAAGGGGGUCAUAAAUGACUGACAGUCAAUCUAUUUUUAUGGUCUGUUUCUGAAGAAUCAAUAUCCACAGGUGUUAGAAUGGCAAUUUAACAGUGAUUACUGAGGAACAUUUAAAUCAGCUGCUCUUUAAAUAUAAAGUUACUGUUGUCAAUUUUUCCCCAG
ensembl:lncRNA